ACUGAACGCUGGCGGCAUGCCUUACACAUGCAAGUCGAACGGUAACAGGUCUUCGGAUGCUGACGAGUGGCGAACGGGUGAGUAAUACAUCGGAACGUGCCUAGUAGUGGGGGAUAACUACUCGAAAGAGUGGCUAAUACCGCAUGAGAUCUACGGAUGAAAGCAGGGGAUCGCAAGACCUUGUGCUACUAGAGCGGCCGAUGGCAGAUUAGGUAGUUGGUGGGAUAAAAGCUUACCAAGCCGACGAUCUGUAGCUGGUCUGAGAGGACGAUCGGCCACACUGGGACUGAGACACGGCCCAGACUCCUACGGGAGGCAGCAGUGGGGAAUUUUGGACAAUGGGCGAAAGCCUGAUCCAGCAAUGCCGCGUGCAGGAUGAAGGCCUUCGGGUUGUAAACUGCUUUUGUACGGAACGAAAAGCCCCGGGUUAAUACCCUGGGGUCAUGACGGUACCGUAAGAAUAAGCACCGGCUAACUACGUGCCAGCCGCCGCAGUAA
rnacentral:rRNA from 1 species